rnacentral:tmRNA from 1 species
GGGGCUGUUGUGGAUUCGACAAAAUUAUCAAACAAAUAAAGUGCAUGCCGAGGAACGGUUUGCCUCGAUAAAAAGCCGUAAAAAAAUAGAUACAAAGAAUAAAAACAACUACGCUUUAGCAGCUUAAAAAACUACAUAAAGCCCUUUCUUCUCAAAUUUCUUACUCUCUUUUAAAAAUGAGAAAAUAUGAAAGGUUAAUUAUUAAAGAGAAGCGUGCACACUAGUCUUGGUAGAUUUGUGCGUUAUUUUUUUACAAGAUAUAGACUUAAAAUGCGUUUUUCCAAAUUAAGUAAUGAAAUAUCUAAAGAAAAACUAAGCAUGUAGAACCUUUAUUUAUAGAAAUUUUGGACGCGGGUUCAAAUCCCGCCAGCUCCAA